UACGUAGGUGGCAAGCGUUGUCCGGAAUUAUUGGGCGUAAAGCGCGCGCAGGCGGUCCUUUAAGUCUGAUGUGAAAGCCCACGGCUCAACCGUGGAGGGUCAUUGGAAACUGGGGGACUUGAGUGCAGAAGAGGAAAGCGGAAUUCCACGUGUAGCGGUGAAAUGCGUAGAGAUGUGGAGGAACACCAGUGGCGAAGGCGGCUUUCUGGGACGGUACCGACGCUGAGACGCGACAGCGUGGGGAGCAAACAGG
rnacentral:rRNA from 1 species